rnacentral:lncRNA from 1 species
UUAACGAAGGGACAUGAAUCCGGUCGUUAUACGUGUACUUAUAGCGACUAACUUUUUUUUCCGGUCGUUAAAGUCAAUUUUUAAUUUCAAUAUUAACGGAGAAAAAUCUUGUGUCCUUAAAAGUAUAAUAUCCAGUCGUUAAAAGUAAUUUAUUAAAUAAAAACAGGCACAAACUUUUUCCCUCUUUUCUUACACGCCCAAACCCAACCCCCAAAAGAAAACCGCUAAUCUUGGAUCGAAAAACGCUUCUUUCAAUUGGAAGAAUGAAGAAAAUUGCUCACCAUCUGCGCCAUCUCCUCCAAUUACCCAUGUUGGAGUAAACUUCUUCACAGUAAAAAUACAGCCCGUCUCCUCCGUUAUCAUCGAUUUCUCGUCUAAGAAUUUCCUUUUCAUCAAGGUAAGUUUAUGCCAAAUCGCUAAACCUGCCGUUGUAACUAUUGAGUGGAAUUGGGUAUUCUUUUAUUGUCCAAUGGUCUCUCGGUUUGAUGAUAUUGUAUUGCUUUUCUUAGUGUUUGUCUAGUACUUUGGAUUUCUUCUUAGAAUAUUAAUAUUUUCCAAUACUAUCUUUUAUCAAUGUCUGGUUAUGCUGGAUUAAACCUGUCCGGAAUUGCAAUUUUCUUCAAUUUUUGUUGUUUAUUGACCUAAGUAUAGACCUUCAUUUGGUAUAUGAGGUGAAAGGAGAAAUAGGUAUAAACAUAGCAAGGGGUAAUCUUUUUUUCCUUUUCAUGUAAUUUUUCUAUAAAUUGGUCUUUAUCUUUGUGCUUUUCGUUGCAGUUAUGACUAAAGACAUAACCAUGAAGACAUAAUGGUUUAUUAAAAAAUUAUCACUAGUUGGAUGAACUAAAAUACAGGGGACUUUACAUUUCUAUAAAGUUCUUGUCAUUACUUGAAGAUCUAAUAUCAAUAUAUGAACUUUGAGAUUUCAAACGAUGCGUCCAAGUGCUGGAUGAAUUUAACUAGGUAUAUCAAAGAGUAAAUUGAUGGUGCUUAAUAUUUCUUGGACAUUGCUUAUUCUGUUGAAGAUCCUCAAGGCAAAGAAUAAUAUUGGUUUAAGUAUGAAGGGACUGCAUCUAAGAUUUGCUUAUAGACGUGAUCUUUUAGCAUCUUAUUUUUUUUAACUUCCUAAACACAUAAUAAGAACAUUAAUUUCUCUUGAUACAACUUGAAAUAAAAAUAUCAAUUGAAUAUCACAUGUUUCGAGUAACAAGUAAAGCGAUUGCAUGUUUCACACUUCUUCCCUAACAAUAAAUUACCUCCUCUAAAAUUGUAUGCUUUUAUUUGUGAAGUAAAUCACAUCUUCAUUCUUGCUUACUUUGUGAUGAAAAGAUCAAAAUAAUAACUAAUUUUGUAGAACAAUAUUUUUAUUCUCCCUCUUUCUAUAUGUUUUUUUGCUCUUCUUAAAAGGAAAUUAUUUUUUCCUUAUUGGUGAGUUCUUAGAGAUGAUGCUUUAUUUUUUGUUCUUUUGUUGCUUCACUUGUUUAAUAGUUUAUAUGCAUUGAGUAUCGCAAUCAGCUCAUAUCAAGAAGUGAAGGUGAAGAAGGCAGAAGUUGCUCAAUAUUCCCAGGAGGCACAAGUUGCUAGAAUUUCUUUGCAGUCGAUGCUCAACAAUCCCAGGAGGUAAUAGUUGUUGUUCGUGCAGACAUUAGUUUACCAUUUUUACUUCGUGAUUGUUGUUUGUGAGGAUAAAUACUAUUUCAGGUAUGUCUUUUUUCUUUUGUUUCACUAUCAGUUCAAGAAUGUUAAAUGCUUGCAUUAAUAUUAGGUGUAGUUGAUAGGUUUUCUUCAUUAGCUAUCCAAAGUGAAAGAUACUAAUAUGAAUCCUUAUAUCCAUGGGUUACAAUUGAAGUCUUUUUUCUGUAAUUUCUCCUAUUUAAUGACAUCCAUGAAGUGUUAUUAUGUCCAACUAUAAAUUGUCCCUAUAUCACUUGCACUCUGACUAUUUCUUUCCUAUCUCUGACUAUUUAGGUCCAUGAUCAUAUCUUUCCUGAUCUUUCAUUUAAUAUUACACCUAUAAACUUUACAUGGUCGUCCAUUCUAAACUUGUAAAUUAGAUUCCAACUCCAGUCAAUCUCAGAACUACAAACAUUAUAAGCCUAGAGAAAAGAAUGGAAGAUGAUCUUAUGGACAAAGGGAAAGUACUUUUUGUAAAUGCUAGCAUUCUUAGCAAAAUGAAGGGAAAGAAUUUUGUCAUUGAUAUCUUACUGUGAGCUAUGGUUCCCAAGAGAGAAAAAGCUUUCGUACUCUUACUACUGAAGUUUUUUCUUCCUAAAGUAAAUUUCAUUUGUGGUAGAUUGUCAAUGGCAAUCCCUAAGUCACUCUUAGACUCUCCACUUAUUAUUUAUCAUGUGAUAGCAUUCGUCAUUUCUAUAGUGUUAUUGCAUUUCUGGAUAGCAUUUCUGCAUUUUUGUAUUUUUGCACAAUUUUAUGCAUGUCUGUAAAGCGUUCUUCAUCUCUGCACAACAUUCGGCAUUUUUGCACGUCAUUUUGUAUUUCUGCACAAUACUCUACUUCAUGCAAUGUCAAUGCUUCCACAAGUAAAUUGAUGCAAUACCUUUUUAAUCUUUUUCCAAAUUGUUGAUGUAAUGCAGUAACAUAGACUUUUUCUUUUAACAGAUCAAGAAUUUGAAGAAAUGAAGCUAUCUUGAAGAUAGUGUAGAGCGAGUUGAAGGAGAUGAGAAAUGUUAAAGAACAAAUUGAAGUACAAGAGGAACCCACUUUGUUUUGCGAGGAAUUUUUAAAGAUGUUGUUUGUAUAUGCUAUAGUUCUAUUUUUUCUUUUUUUAGGAGUUGAAUAAAAUAAUGUCAGUAAUAUUUAGAUAAGUAUAUUUUUGGUAAUGUGAUAUUCUAAUUCUUUGUAAUCAACAAUGAUGUUUAUAUGAGUACUGACUUUUUGUAUGUGUUUGGAUAUCUGUGUGGAUAUGUCACAAUAUUAGUUACCGUUAUUUAUACAAUUAAUGAAAAAAAUUCCGGUCGCUAGAAGCACUUACAAAGGCUGAGUUUGUUGUCGUUAUUGAUAUUUUAGUGACCAAAAAAUAACAAUUAGCGGAGGAAAAUUCAGUCGCGAAAAGGAGGAAUAACGACU